rnacentral:rRNA from 1 species
AGCAGCCGCGGUAAUUCCAGCUCCAAUAGCGUAUAUUAAAGUUGUUGCAGUUAAAAAGCUCGUAGUUGAAUUUCGGGGUUCAUACGUUGGUCGGGCUUUUUGGUCUGUAUUGGCGUAAUGGAUUCCUACCUUCUGAAUAACCGGCAUGCCAUUAAUUUGGUGCGCCGGGGAAGCAGGACUGUUACCUUGAAAAAAUUAGAGUGCUUAAAGCAGGCUAUCGCCUGAAUACAUUAGCAUGGAAUAAUGAAAUAGGACGGCAUGGUUCUAUUUUGUUGGUUUCUAGGAUCACCGUAAUGAUUAAUAGGGAUAGUUGGGGGCAUUAGUAUUCAAUUGUCAGAGGUGAAAUUCUUGGAUUUAUUGAAGACUAACUUCUGCGAAAGCAUUUGCCAAGGAUGUUUUCAUUAAUCAAGAACGAAAGUUAGGGGAUCGAAGACGAUCAGAUACCGUCGUAGUCUUAACCAUAAACUAUGCCGACUAGGGAUCGGACGAUGUUAAUUUUUUAAUGACUCGUUCUUGGCGC